rnacentral:lncRNA from 1 species
UUUUUUUUUUUUUUUUGGGCUUUUGGGCUAGUUUCCUUAUCUCGAUUUUGUGUCUAAAAAUUUCAAGAAUUGAUGGAUUCGAAAUCUGAUGGAAUUGUUUUAAGAUUUGGGACUUUGACUUUUGAUUUGUGAAUCCCUGAUAUUCUUUUUACUGAUUUGUUGCUUGAUUGUGUUUCACGCUUAAAGAGAAGCAUUUUGCAAUAAAAGUUGUGGCUUCUGGUCUUGAUUUGCGUGGUGGUGGAGAGGAGGAGCCGCCACGGAAUUAUGCUCGUUUGGGCAGCUCUACAGCGACUCUUGGCCGAAUCUAGACCAGAUUUGCGGUCUACGUGAAAAAUCGAGUUUAGUGUGCAAACUUUGCAAAAUUCAGUCGCUCUCCUGAGGUUGCAGACAUAGGUCGAGGAUGGUUGGCGGCGGAUCACAACAACUAGCUGCUGCUGCUGUCGCCUGCUGGCGUUGGUACCCAUGGCUGCCACCUACAAGCUUCUGAAAACAUUAGCAGGAAGGGAUGACAAAUAAAAUAAUAAAGAAAUUAAGAAAUAGUAAGGGAUAAUUUCAUAAGGGAUAAUUGCAGAAACCUCCCCUGACUUUUAUAGUAAUGGCAUUGACCUCCCCUAUCAAUUUUGAAAUAGCAUUGACCUCCCCUAUCAAAAGUUUGAGGUAAUUUAAUAGGCAAAAGUGGGUCAAUUUACUAAAGUACCCCUGACAUGAUUUAAUUUUACCAAAUGAAUGUGAUGAGUACUUUCAUCAAACCCAACAAAACAUUUGUUAAUAAAAAUUACACUAAAUUAACUAUUUCUGCAUAGUUUAACUAAUUAACUAAUUAACUAAAUAACUAAUAAUCUAAUUAAUUAAUAACUAAUUAUCUAAUUAACUAUUAACUAAUUAACUAAUUAUCUAAUUGUUAAUAGUUAUUAACUAAUCAAACUAUUUCUGCAUAGUUAAACUAAUUAAAUAUUAACUAAUUAUCUAAUUAACUAUUAACUAAUUAACUAAUUUCUAUUUAUCUAAUUAACUAAUUAAUUAAUUAUCUAAUUAACUAAAGCUGUUAUCUGUCCGAAACUAACAAACUAUUUGCAUGUUAACCUACUUAACUAAUUAACUGCUUAACUAAUUAACUACCUAAUUAUCUAAUUAAUUAAUUAACUAAUUAACUAAUUUUUGUUUAUCUAAUUAACUAAUUAUCUAAAGUAAGAAUAUUGAUAUUACUGUAACACUUUUUGAAUUUUACUUACAAACAUUGAUGUUUUUAUCAUAAAUUAAAUGUUUGAAAGUAAAAUACCCAUAAAGAACCGAUACUUUAAAUAGAUAAUGCGUACUGCAUAUAGUUUAACAUGCAAAUAGUUUUUUAAUUAGUUAGUUAGUUAAUUAGUUAAUUAGUUUAACAUGCAAAUAGUUUGUUAGUUUCGGAUAGUCAACAACUUUAGUUAAUUAGUUAAUUAGAUAAAUAGAAAUUAGUUAAUUACUUAAUUAAUUAAUUAGAUAAUUAGUUAGUUAAUUAGUUAAGCAGUUAAUUAGUUAAUUAGUUUAACAUGCAAAUAGUUUGUUAGUUUCAGAUAGACAACAGCUUUAGUUAAUUAGUUAAUUAGUUAAUUAGUUUAACAUGCAAAUAGUUUGUUAGUUUUGGAUAGACAACAACUUCAGUUAAUUAGAUAAACAAAAAUUAGUUAAUUAGAUAAUUAGGUAGUUAAUUAGUUAAGCAGUUAAUUAGUUUACCAUGCAAAUAAUUUGUUAGUUUCGGACAGACAAUAGCUUUAGUUAAUUAGUUAAUUAAAUAAUUAUUUAAUUAGUUAAUUAAUUAAUUAGAUAAUUAGUUAAUUAGUUAAUAGUUAAUUAGAUAAUUAGUUAAUAAUUAAUUAGUUUAACUAUUAACUAAUUAGAUAAUUAGUUAAGCAAUUGUCAAGCAAAUAAUAAUUGUCAAGCAAGUAAGGGCAAAAUUGGAAGAAAAUUCUUAUCUCACUUCUACAAAAGCUGUCAGGGAGGUCUCUGCAACAAAUUGUUACUGUUCAGGGGAGGUGAAUGCAAUUUUUAAACCUAGAGGGGAGGUCAGUGCAAAUGUCAGAAAUUUCAGGGGAGAUUUCUGCAAUUAUCCCAUUUCAUAAACCUCCCUUGGGGGUUUCCGACAAUUUCACUCAGCUCCCCCCAAUUUUAGAAAAUUACAUCGACCUCCCUUGUUUUUACUAUUUAAGGGUCUGUUUGAUAAUAUAAAAAAAGUGCUGAAUCUGAAUUUUUUCAGACAUUCAGAUGUUUUGACUGUUUGAUAAAUGAAAAUUCAUUUGCUGAAUUUACUAAGUAGUGCUGAACUUGUGUGUAUUUUUUUCAGCACAAGAAUCCUAACUGAAUGCUUAAUUCUAAUAAGAAUCAAUAAAAUUAUUUCAAUUACCUUAUCUUAUCUAGCAAAUCUACCCUUGUUUGUUAAUUAUGUUCAAAAUUUUUGUUUAAUUAAACAACCUAAUAUUUUCUAUCUAAUGAUUUUCUAUUUCUUUUUUCUCCCUUUUGAAUGACUUUCACAUCUUUUGCAUACUUCUCAUAUAAUAUAUUUCAUCUUUUAUAUUAAUUUGAUUUAAAAAUAAAUAUUGUCAUUUUCAUACCUAACAUUUUUAACUAAUUAAAUCAUAGGUUCUAUUUCUUUUUUGGAUGAAAAGAUAUAAGGGCAAAAUUGUCAAAUUUAACUUAUUAAGUAUUUAGUUAUAAAUAUUUAUCAAACAGUAUAAAUAGGCUUAACAUUAAAAUUCAGACAUUCAUACAUUUCUUUUUAGUGCUUAAAAUUCAGCAAAUUAAUUGUUUCAAUAUUCAGAUUUUAAAAUUUAGACUUCAGAAUUUAGAUUUAGUUUUAUCAAACGGAACCUAAGUAAUAUUAUAGACCCAUUAGGCUAGAAUUAUACUUAAAUAUCCUAAAAUACCCUUAUGCAAUAUCAUAACAUCAAAAGAAAGUGGAAAAAAGGUUUAGUGAUGAAUUUAAUAAAAAAAAAAGUAACAAACACUUUUAUCCAAGUUUAUUAUGCUUCCACGAUAAUUGUAAACCCAAAACCUUAUCAACCUUUCAAGCAAAUUCCAAUUUAAUUUCCAAAUUCCAUUAAUUUUGGUAUCACUAAAAUCCCAAAUUUUACCAAAAUUGCACUUCAAUUUAAUCCCUAAAUUCUAUCAAUUUCGGCAUUAUCAAAAUCCCAAACUCUACUCACAUCACUUUAAAAAUAGACCAUAACUGCCAUCACCAACUAAAAUACCCUCAAAAGCUUCCCACCCCAAAUUAACACUAUAUUUGUCUAUUGACUAAUCUCACACCUCAAAUUAUGAAUCCAACACCUAGUGCAUAUCAUCUUCCUUGAACAGAAGACCUGGCCAACCACUAUUGAUGUCUAUGCCAAGAGCAACCCCAUACUCCAAUAGCAUUAGGAACAAAGAAACUAAUCUUUAUGACAAACAACCACUAAUACUUGUAAAUCAAACAAAAAUAAAACUAAAUGAAGACAUUAGAUUCUAGUGCGUAAUUGACAUGAUAGCAUAACCCAGAGUUAUCCCUUUUUCUCUUCCAACUAUAGCCCAUUAAUUUCAUUUUUUUUCCUCUCUAUCACAACCAUCUUCAUCAUCUCCAUCCAAUUUGGCCAUGAAAUUUUCAUUUGCUCCUUCAAUUUGUAAUUUUGGAAAUUUUAAUUCUUUAAUAUAUGCAAAUUAUAAUACGAGAAGAAAUAAGCGAGGGGGUUGAUAGUCAAGUAACACGGAAAGAGAGAAAUAGACAAGAAAUAAACAUUUCGGGUAGGUUUGCAUGGUGGUGUAAUUGAUGGGUGGAAGAAACUGUGAGGUUAUAGGUAGGAAGGAGAGAAUUAUAAGAGGUAGAAAAAAAAAGGGAGGGAAAGAGAAAAAAAAAUUUGCUGUUAAUUAAAGUAGAGUUGGGAAUGAUGGCGAGUUGUUGUAGGUUUUUAUGGGCCUGUUUGGAACCUUGAUUUUUUGUCAAGUUUGUAUGAUACUAGUUUUUUAACAACUUUUACUACAAGAACUCCAAAAACUUAUCAAAAUUUUUAAUCUACACACUUUAAAAUAUCCAAAACACAAAAAAUCCAAAAUUUCCUUUCUCUUUUCUUCUUCUUCCUCCCCCACCCCAACUGCCCACCACCUCCGCUGCUGGUUCUGGCACCGAUCACCUCUUCCGGUGCCGAUCAUUUUUUUUCCCUUUCUCCCUCUCCCCCUCUUCCUCCCCUUUUGCCCGGUUCUGAUCCUUUCUCUUUUUUUUUUCUCCUCUUCCUCUCCUCCACUCCUUCCCUACCACCCUUCCCUUUCCCCUAUGGCCGGUCGCCAGACCAAAUCGUACAGAGGAGGGGUGGGGGUGGCGGGGGAAGAGGAGUAGAGGGGAGAAGAAAAAUUGCAAAAAAAAAAAAAAAAAUUCCGCGGCCGGCAGAUUGAGCAGAGACGGGAGAGGGGAAGGGGGAUGGGGAGAGAGGAGGAGAGGGGUGGUGGGGGAAGGGGAAGAGGGGUGGCGAGGGAAGGAAGGGGAAGGGGAGAGGGGGUGCCCUUCCCCUCUGGCCGGUUGCCAGACCAGAUCGCAUCGAGGGAGGGUGAGGGUGGCGGGGAAAGGAGAGUAGAGGGAGAAGGAAAAAUUACAAAAAAAAAAAAAAAAAAUUCCGCGCCUUCAGAUGAGCAAAGGCGGGCGAGGAAGGGGGAUGGGAGAGAGGAGGAGAGGGUGGCGGGGAGGGAAGAGGGGUGCAGAGGAGUCAGAGGGUGGCGAGGGAGAAGGGAGAAAUGGGUGCAGGGGGCAGAGGGGUGCUGGGGAGAGGGGAGAAGAGGGGUGUGGAGGAGGGGGGUGUGGGGUGGGGAGGAGGAAGGAAGGAAGGGGAAGGGGAGAGGGAGAAAGAGGGGGGGGGGGAGGAGAGAAAAGGGCGGGCAUGAGAGGGGGGAGAAAAAAAGCAAAAAAAAAAAAAAUUGCAGUAAAACCCAAUACUGCAUUGGCAGUGAUCUGAAGAGGGAACGGGGACGGGGAAAGGGAAGGGAGAAGAAGCAGGAAGGGAGGAAGGAAAAGAAAAAAGAAAAAAGAAAAAGAAAGAAAGAAAAAGAAAAGGAAAAAAAGUUUUUCAUCACACAAAAAGUUUUUCUACAACUUCUAAAAAAUUUUUUUUCAUCUUACAAAGUUUUUCUACAAUUUCUACAGUGAUCUACAGUAAAAUUUUAUACAAACACCCAAAAAACCCACCUUUCAAACAGGCCCUAUGUUUUCUUUUACUUUUGGUUUGGUUUUUGUAUCCUACAUAUGUGGUAAACUAUCUAUUUUUUUAUGUGGUAAAUUAUCUAUUAAGUAGAGGGUAUUGUAGUCAUUUUAUUGAAUCGAGAGAUAUUAGUGUAAUUUUCUAAAAUUGAGGGGAACUAAGUGAACUUGUCAGAAUCCUCCUCAAGGGAGGUUUCUGAAAUUAUCCCAAAUAGUAAAUGAGAAUUUAUUGAGAAAGUGCGACCUAGAAAGCUUAUGAAACAUUAGCAGGAAGGGAUGAAAAAUAAAAUAAUACUUAAAAGAAAUUAAGAAAUAGUAAAUGAGAAUUUAUUGAGAAAGUUGUUUUAACCUAUGGUCCUUUAGUCUUUUCACUAUUUCCGUCCCAGGUACUUUAACAGAAGUUAGUUAUAGAUUGGGGGAUAGGUGUUAUUUGGCCAGAACUUGGGGUUCAUUUGGUAGUUUAGUCAAAUCUUAAGGAACGUAAAUGUAAUUAACCUUUUUUUUUUUUUUAACAUGCACCACAUGGCAAUUACGAAGUAUAUUUCAACUUUAAUCAUAUUAUCUAUGCUGCACACUUGUACUGGGUCUUCCUUCAUGUGUUUACAGAUUUUUGGACUCUUGAAAUUAGAAUGGGUCAAUGGCUUGUGCCCUUGAAACAAGAAGGGUCCAAAUGUUAUUCAUUUGUCAAAUGUUUGAAAAGAUUGCCAUGUUGAACUGAACCAAUCAUGAAAGCACUAAAUUCCUAUUUGAUUCAGUUACCGGGUUGACAAGACAAAUGAAGGAUUGCCAAGCAACAUACAAGAAAAACAAAGCUAACUCACUUUGUUAAAUUGGCCAUGGAGGGGCCUCAGAGUUAACCUGGGAGUGUUUAGUUAAGAGUGAUUUGUGAGUGCCAGGUCAUGUGAGUGCCAGGUCAGCGUGUGCAUGGCUUAUUAGAUUAAGGUAGUGAUUGUUUGCAAAGAUUAAUGGUGGGAAAGUGAAGGAAAGUUUGUUAACUUCUUUCUAUUACGUUGUGUUUGUUUAGAGAAAAGUUAGAAAAAUUUACUGCAUAUAUAUAUAUAUAUAUAUAUAUAUAUAUAUAUAUAUAUAUAUAUAUAUAUAUAUUAUGUUCAUUGCCCUGCAAAUUUGGUAUGCUUGUGGAGAAAAAUAGCUCGUUAGACAUAUUUUUUAAAAUGAUUAUCACUAACUUUUAAUGCUGUCUUGCAAAUUUUUUAGGAUUGUAAAGGAAGAUAGAUAAUUACGCACAUUUUUUAAAAAUAACUACCACUAAUUUUCAAUAACUUUGCACUUUCUCUAAAAUUUUUUCUUGCUAACCAAAUAUACAUGGGAAAUUGGUUCUUAUUUUCAUUUAUCUUACUUUUCCAUACAAUUUUCUCUCUAUUCAAACAAAGUCUGUUUUCUAGCUGUUAGGGGAAAACAAAAGAAAAACAAAACUUACCCGCACGCACACAAUAAAAAGAAGGAUGAAUUACCUUAUACCUAUCUGUGAUUUGGUGCUUUAUCAUAUAAUUUCCUAUAACUUAAAAUCUAUAUAUAACUCCCUCAUAAUAUAGAUUAAAGUGUCAUUGUUAGUUUUUCCGUUAAAACUAACAAUCAAUGAUAAAAAGUCAAAAUCAAAUUACUAAAUUGAGAAAUCAUUACUUUUUUUUUUUCUUUUUCCUUCUCUCUCUCUCUCUCUCUCUCUAAUUUUUUUUUCUUUGGAGAAAGGAAGAGAUGAUUUUGAAAACUUAUAUUUUAGCCUACACAAUCUUAAUUUUCUUCAAAUACAAAAGAGAUGGUAGGGAAAUAAAAAAGGACUAAUCUUUCAUAUACUGAUAUUGUAUACACUAAUAAGUGUGUUUAGAUAGAAUAUUAUUUGAAAUAAUUAUUGUAGCAUUUUUUAUAAUGUAAUGUAUAUAAGAUAAAAAUGUGGUUAGCAAUAUAAAAAGAUGGGUUGGAAAAUAUAUUUAUGAUAUAAGCAAAAUAUUUUUUGAAAAAAAUUGGCUAUCCAAACACUCUCACUGUCAAUUUUGGAUGAAUGACAACUAUGUAAAAUUUGAAUUUGAAACCUAAUUUUUGCACGUGUCAUGAUUCCAACGGUAAUAGUGUAUAUACUAUUAGCGUGUAUAAUAUUUACUUAAUAAAAAAUAAAUAAGAAACAAAAAAGAUGGAAGGCAAAUGUAAAAAAAUAAAUAAAUAACAAAAAACACCAAAUCUUUUUUGACUACAAAUAUCAUUAUUGGUUUUUAAACCAAAUCUUUAAUGGUAUUUUCUAGUUCUUAUUUAUCUGUGUUUAUAUUUCAAUUUCUUCUUUUUUAUGUUUGGAGGAAAAAAAAGAAGAAAUGAAAGCACAAAUUUGUUAAUUUAUUAGUUUGAUUUCGACUUUUUACUAUUGAUAAUUAGUUUUAACGAAAAAACUAAUGGUGACACAUUAACCCAAACCAUGAGAGAGUUAUAUAUAGAUUUUUAAAUCAUAAGGGGGUUAUGUGAUAAAAUACCAAAUUACAGGGAUAAAAGGUAAUGUACCCAUUAUAUAUAUAUAUAUAUAUAUAUAUAUAUAUUUAUAUCUAGUACCAAUUGGUGGCUCCGAGUUGGUCGGUCAAUUGCUGGUCUAGGGCCUCCAGGCUGCACAACCAAAUAGAGGGUCCAGAUUGAAUACACAUUAUUAACUGCUAGGGCUUGAUAACCAUUUCGACAUGAAAUCUUUUUGUUGCUUUUAUUUAUUUAUUUAUUAGUUAUGUAGUUAGGGAGACUAGAACCCCAACUUAGCACCCAAGGGGAACUUAAGUCCCUCCUUCUGGCAAACUCUCAAUCCUAAAUUCCUUUAACAAUUUGAAUUUUUCUAGUUUAGAAUAUGAAAAUUUCGAUAGGGUAUGGUUUGUCAUUAUGAAAACUCACAAUUAAAAUAAAGGUUUUUCUAAUGAGUACUCCUAAGGCACUCAUUAAAAUAUCUAAAUUACACUUAAUUUGUUACAUGAAUGUACACAUUCACAUUUAUUAUCUCCAUACAUUUAGAUAUUGUCUCAAAUUAGUUUAACUCUUGUAAAAAAAUUAAUAUUAUGCAAAAGUAUCUUAACGAGUUUUUGGGUUCGAACCCUUUUACUUAUACUAGAAAAAUAAAAAUAAAAUAAAAAGAGCUCCCUGGUGAUUAACGGGACACUAAUUAAACAAAACCUUAAAAGUUAUUAAGGAACCCAUGUUCAAUUUUUUGUUGUCUUUCCUUUUUAGUUCAAAAUUUUCAAACACCAAUACCUAAAAAUGAAAAUUUUUUCCUUUGAUCUAGGGGCACAUUUACAAACUAUGGGGUAAUUUUUUUUUUUUCAGAAUAUUGUACCUCGAACUGCUAUUUUGUUUCUAUUCCUUCUCUGUUGUAAAUGGGUAUGUAAUCGUGUUGGCAAUCAUGUUACCCAUUUUAAUCUGCAUUGCACAAUGAAUUUAGAUGUGGAGGUUGUGUCAGAAAAUUCUUCCCCCUCGUUGUUCGCUGCACAGUCUUAGUUAGCCAAUCCAUCCUAAAGAUUAUAUCUAUUGAUGAUAACAUUGUCAUCGUCAAAACGAAAAGGAAAUUCACACACUAAGCAAUGUUGCCAUAUGUAGGUAAAAAGAAUAAUUCAAAUUUAUUGAAAGAGAUAGAAUUUGUUUGAAGACAGAAAUUUGAAGUACAUUUGAUUGGAGCUUCGAGGAGAACUAAAAGAGAAAUAGAUAAAAUCCAAAUGUUUGUUAGCCCAUCAAUUCUCUUCAAUUAAACAUGCUACAACUACAAGAGAAGCAGUGAUUAAUUCGUAUCAUGCCCGUCGGGCACAAUCAGUUAUCCGUGGAUCACAUAGGGUGGUUUGCGGUCUGUCUUGGGCCAUCAUUGUGUUUAGCCCAAAUCAGGUGCAUGCAAAUUAGAAUUUUCUUAAAUAAAAAUACAAGGCACAAAUCAAAUUCCUGCAUCUAAAUUGGCAAGAUAUCCAGCUCUUGCCUUUAGAUGCUUUAUCCGACGAUGUUUAUGGCAGUUUCGGACUCCAAAUAGUGAAUUUACCAACUCUUUAUGAGGAGAACAUCAUAAAAGCAUUCCAUUUUGGUUGUCCUAAGCAUUCAACAUAUCACUACACCAUCAGAGUACUGAGGCCACAACCGAUGUGGUCUUGCAGCAUCCUAUGUAUAAGAACUGAAAAACAUUGUAGUAUCACCAGUAAAACCAUACUGAAACGCUAAUGUGUUACAUUCUUGGGAAGGUUGCGGAUGACGUUACUCUUCAUGCCAAUCUUGGAACGCAUAGCCUCCACGC